rnacentral:rRNA from 1 species
AUAUCAGAAGUGCGAAUGCUGACAUGAGUAACGUUAAAGCAGGUGAAAAGCCUGCUCGCCGUAAGCCCAAGGAUUCCUGCUCUACGUUCAUCGGAGCAGGGUGAGUCGGCUCCUAAGGUCAGGCCGAAAGGCGUAGCCGAUGGGAAUCAGGUUAAUAUUCCUGAACCUGCGUCAGAUGCGAUGGGGGGACGGAGCAUGAAAGAUCAUCCGGGUGUUGGAAGUCCCGGUUGUUUAGCGUAGGAGGUCUGCAGGCAAAUCCGCAGACGCAUCUCCAAGGCAAAGACACGUGCCGCCACGGCGGCGAAGUGAUCGGAAGUGCUUCCAAGAAAAGCCUCUAAGCACCAGUCUGAUGCGGACCGUACCGCAAACCGACACUGGUGGGCGAGCUGAAUAUGCUCAGGCGCUUGAGAGAACUCGGGAGAAGGAACUCGGCAAAUUGACACCGUAACUUCGGAAGAAGGUGUGCCGUAGUACCGUGAGAGGAGAGACACCUUGAGCGGGAAACGGUCUCAGAGAAUAGGUGGCUGCGACUGUUUAUUAAAAACACAGCACUCUGCAAAGUCGAAAGACGACGUAUAGGGUGUGAUGCCUGCCCGGUGCUGGAAGAUUAAUUGAUGGGGUGAGAGCCCUUGAUCGAAGUCCCAGUAAACGGCGGCCGUAACUAUAACGGUCCUAAGGUAGCGAAAUUCCUUGUCGGGUAAGUUCCGACCUGCACGAAUGGCAUAAUGAUGGCCACACUGUCUCCUCCCGAGACUCAGUGAAGUUGAAAUGUUUGUGAUGAUGCAAUCUACCCGCGGCUAGACGGAAAGACCCCAUGAACCUUUACUGCAGCUUUGCAUUGAACUGUGAACCGAUUUGUGUAGGAUAGGUGGGAGGCAGAGAAAGCGCCACGCCAGUGGUCUUGGAGCCGACCUUGAAAUACCACCCUGAUUUGUUUGAGGUUCUAACCGCGGACAGUGAGCCUGGUCUUGGGACCGUGCAUGGCAGGCAGUUUGACUGGGGCGGUCUCCUCCUAAAGGGUAACGGAGGAGUACGAAGGUACGCUAGGUACGGUCGGAAAUCGUGCUGAUAGUGCAAUGGCAAAAGCGUGCUUGACUGCGAGAGCAACAACUCGAGCAGAUGCGAAAGCAGGUCAUAGUGAUCCGGUGGCUCUGUAUGGAAGGGCCAUCGCUCAACGGAUAAAAGGUACUCUGGGGAU